rnacentral:rRNA from 1 species
AUUGAACGCUGGCGGCAUGCUUACACAUGCAAGUCGAACGGCAGCGCGGGGGCAACCCUGGCGGCGAGUGGCGAACGGGUGAGUAAUGUAUCGGAACGUAUCCUGUAAUGGGGGAUAACCAGUCGAAAGAUUGGGUAAUACCGCAUACGCACGAGAGUGGAAAGUAGGGGAUCGCAAGACCUUACGUUAUAGGAGCGGCCGAUAUCUGAUUAGCUAGUUGGUGGGGUAAAGGCCUACCAAGGCGACGAUCAGUAGCUGGUCUGAGAGGACGACCAGCCACACUGGGACUGAGACACGGCCCAGACUCCUACGGGAGGCAGCAGUGGGGAAUUUUGGACAAUGGGCGAAAGCCUGAUCCAGCCAUGCCGCGUGCAGGAAGAAGGCCUUCGGGUUGUAAACUGCUUUAGUCUAGGAAAAAGGGGUGCGAGGUUAAUACCCUCGUGCUUUGAUGGUACUGGAAGAAUAAGCACCGGCUAACUACGUG